CUCAGGGGAGGCAGAACCUUUCUGUAAUUGGCGUAGAUCAUGUGAGGAAACCUCUACGGUUCUUAGGAAGAGACAGGACUGCCUGAUACUAGAAGUAGCUGUUGACUGGAGGUUGCAGCGCGUGGUUGCUCCUGGUGGGAGUAACAAUGAAGACAUCCAGUCACGCUUUGGUCGUGUUCCUGUGGCUGCGGAUGGACUGGCUCAGCCAGGGGGAGAAAGUGGAGCAGCCUCCCACCCUGAGCGUCCAGGAGGGAAACAGAACUGUUAUCAACUGUACUUAUUCAGACAGUACCUCCUAUUACUUCCUUUGGUAUAAGCAAGAACCUGGCAAAGGUCUCCAGUUCAUUAUAGACAUUCGUUCAAAUAAGGGUGAUAAUCAUGGACCUAGACACACUGUCUUUUUGAAUACAGCAGUCAAACUUCUUUCCCUGCACAUCUCUGUCACCCAGCCUGGAGACUCCGCCAUGUACUUCUGCGCAGCGAGUGCACAGUGCUGUCCCGGCACCUGCAGCCUGUACUGAAACCUGCAACUGGCAGCCCCUCCCCUUGAGCACAGCCAUCCCUCAAGCACAGCCUUUGUCAUACUGUCUGCAGCGGGAAAAAUGUAUUAGACGUUAAAGCAUAUGAUAAGGUUAGGCUCAAAAUGAUGCAGAAGCAUUAGAAUAUUUUGUUCACUGAUAUUUGUUUAAUGGAUUUCUUUUUAAAAAAUAUUUAUUUAUUCAUGCAUACAAGAUCUGGGGUAAAGGCCAGAGGUGUGUGGGGGGGGGUGUGAGAGGAUUCACCAGAGACAGAGUGGGGAACAGAACAGGCAGAAUGACUGAAAUACAGUGCUGAGGGGAGCAGCGGGCGACUCAGGAGAGGUCUGCUGUGCCAUGUGGGUUGCUUCCUGGCUGUCCAGGGAUCGAACUCAUGCUGCAGAGGCUGUGGACAGCUUCAUGGUGCUGCCUCUUAACCACUUGCGCCUUAGGGAGGCC